rnacentral:rRNA from 1 species
UACGGGGGGGGUAAGCGUUGUUCGGAAUUACUGGGCGUAAAGGGCUCGUAGGCGGCCAACUAAGUCAGACGUGAAAUCCCUCGGCUUAACCGGGGAACUGCGUCUGAUACUGGAUGGCUUGAGUUUGGGAGAGGGAUGCGGAAUUCCAGGUGUAGCGGUGAAAUGCGUAGAUAUCAGGAGGAAUACCGAUGGCGAAGGCAGGUCUCUGGGCUGACACUGACGCUCAUGCACGAAAGCGUGGGGAGCAAACAGG